rnacentral:rRNA from 1 species
UACGUAGGGUGCAAGCGUUGUCCGGAAUCAUUGGGCGUAAAGCGCGCGUAGGUGGCUUCGUAAGUCCGUUGUGAAAGUCAAAGGCUCAACCUUUGAAUGCCGAUGGAUACUGUGAAGCUAGAGUACGGAAGAGGCGAGUGGAAUUCCUGGUGUAGCGGUGGAAUGCGCAGAUAUCAGGAGGAACACCAAUAGCGAAGGCAGCUCGCUGGGACGUUACUGACACUGAGGCGCGAAAGCGUGGGGAGCGAACAGG